CCUACGGGAGGCAGCAGUCGAGAAUCAUUCACAAUGGGGGAAACCCUGAUGGUGCGACGCCGCGUGGGGGAAUGAAGAUCUUCGGAUUGUAAACCCCUGUCAUGUGGGAGCAAAUUAAAAAGAUAGUACCACAAGAGGAAGAGACGGCUAACUCGGUGCCAGCAGCCGCGGUAAUACAUAGGUCUCAAGCGUUGUUCGGAAUCACUGGGCGUAAGGCGUGCGUAGGCUGUUUCGUAAGUCGUGUGUGAAAGGCGCGGGCUCAACCCGCGGACGGCACAUGAUACUGCGAGACUAGAGUAAUGGAGGGGGAACCGGAAUUCUCGGUGUAGCAGUGAAAUGCGUAGAUAUCGAGAGGAACACUCGUGGCGAAGGCGGGUUCCUGGACAUUAACUGACGCUGAGGCACGAAGGCCAGGGGAGCGAAAGGGAUUAGAUACCCUAGUAGUC
rnacentral:rRNA from 1 species